UACGGGGGGAGCAAGCGUUGUUCGGAUUUACUGGGCGUAAAGGGCGCGUAGGCGGCCUACUAAGUCAGACGUGAAAUCCCCCGGCUUAACCUGGGAACUGCGUCUGAUACUGGAAGGCUUGAGUAUGGGAGAGGGAUGUAGAAUUCCUGGUGUAGCGGUGAAAUGCGCAGAUAUCAGGAGGAACACCGGUGGCGAAGGCGGUUCUCUGGGCCUUACCUGACGCUGAGGAGCGAAAGCGUGGGGAGCAAACAGG
rnacentral:rRNA from 1 species